GGAAAAUUAAGGUGAGGUGUUAGAACUUGCCUUCUAAUUGUCAAGGCUGGCUUCAUUUAGGGUUAGUCAAAGCAGCUCCCUUUGCUUUCCACUGGACACUCCACUGGAGAAAGAAUUCCACCCCUGAGAAGUGUCCUAAAGCCACUGGACCAGGUGAUGUCCAUAUCCCCUUCCAACGCUCCCCUCCUCUGAGUCCAUGAUAAAUUAUUUCCUGUCACUUUGUUUAAAGAUUUCAUCGUUGGCAUGGGCGUUUACACAGAUUUUGACCACUGCAGAACACUGCUAGCCAAGCCAGAAAGCAGGCCUUGAGGAGAGAGUUAACUUGGUGAAUGAAGCAAAAACAUGCCAUUCAGAGGGCCUGCCAGCCACACCAAAAGCUUUUCCCAAGAAGGCAGGGUCUGGGUAGAGCCAGCUGCACAGUAGGAGGAGUGUGGAUAAGAAAAGACUCAAAGAAGGCCAACGAUGCAUAAAGCACGGGAACUGCAUAAAGGUGUCUUUUUUCUGCCUUGGGUUACAGGAUCCUGUGGCAACCCUACACCUAGCCACUUCUGGAACCAUGACACCACGCUCCAGAGGGGUUGUGCCAUUUUACUUCCGCACCAACAGUGAACUUUGUUGAAGAUCCUGGGCUGCUUGAACUGGAGAGUUUCCCCAGACAUGUUUUGUUAAUCUCAUAAUCAUGGGGGUACUCUUCAAUAUGCCCUCUCUUCUCUGUGUUUUUUCGUAAAACUUCAGCUGAAUCCAGAGCCAUGAAAGCUACCAUUUCUGGAAGAAUUUGGCACCAGUAUCUGCCACAAAGGAAAUAUAUAAGGGAGGUCUUCAUGCAGAAGAAAAGUGAUGCUAAGGGUAAAAUUGUAGGAAAGAAUGAUGAGGAAAAGAAAGGUAUACAUGAUACAUGUUAAAUCUUUGAGAUGCUAAAAGAUUGUAUAACUAUCAAGAUGUGAAAAAUGGAAUAGCAAAACCUUCUUGAGCAACCCAAAAGAAGAUAGAAAAAGAAAAUAAGGAGCACAGGACACAUGUGACAGGGCUUAACUCAAAAGAAGAAAUUGGAUUCAUUUCUCUUGCGGUCUGAUAAGAAAUUUGGUUCUGUUUUCUGGCUGGAAUGCAAUUUGGAGAUUAUAUGUGGUUUAAAUGAUGUGUUUCUUUUUUAAGAGGGCUUGAAUUUUAAAAUUUGCCCCAAACCCUUAUUCUUGAGUCUGCCUAAAGUUUCAACAGUUGGAGAAUUGGAGAGAAGAUUUGCUUCCUUUCUUUGAAUAGAGUCCUGGGUUCUGUAACUGUACAACUUGAAAAGGAGAGAGACCACUACAAAUCUUUUACAAGCUAUUAACUGUAAUUUGAUUGUCAAAAGGAAGAAAGUUGAUAGAUGUUCAAGAGCUUGUUAUUUUAUGUGGUACUUUUUGUCUUAGGAAUUUAUAACUUAACAGGCUGUGUACUUCCAGCCUGGAACUGGAUGGGUCAAUGAGCCAUGACUUUGUUUAACACUAACGCCGUUUAACACAAAAGCACCAUAGAAUAUUGAAGCAGGAAAGGGAAAUACUUAAGCCGCUAUAUAACCCAGCGCUUGCUGGAGGCCCUGGGAUUUGAGAUCUCAAACUGUUUGCAUUUUUACCAUGACGUCCUCACUCCUGCCUUGCCUUGACCCAUAAGAAAACAUAAGAAAACAAAGGCCCAGAAUGAAAAUGUCUUGCCAGAAGUCACACAGCUUGUAUCUAGAAAUUCACCUUCCUAUGAAUUUGCUUUAGAGAAAAGAGCCAAGAGCUUCACCUUUCUAUCUGUUUUCUUUUUCAAAAAUUAUUUAUUUCUUAUUGUGGUAAAAUAUACAUAACU